GCUACUACCGAUUGAAUGGUUCAGUGAGGACUCCUGAUUGGCGCCGCCGUCCCGGCAACGGAGCAGCGGACUGCCGAAAAGUUGUUCAAACUUGAUCAUUUAGAGGAAGUAAAAGUCGUAACAAGGUUUCCGUAGGUGAACCUGCAGAAGGAUCAAGAUCGGAAGAGCACAUGACUGAACUUCAGUUACGCGGACUUAUCAUGUAUGCUGCUUCUUGAAUGAAAAAAAAAAAAUAUAUUCACUAUACUAUCUACAUACGUAGAUAUAACACGAUAA
rnacentral:misc_RNA from 1 species